ensembl:lncRNA
GGAGGAGAUUUUUCAUUGCUGUCUGUCCAUGUGUCCACGUGUGGCACAUGAAUGGGCUCUGUCUCACGUUUGAGUAUGUGGAUUUUGCUCACUCGGGGAAAUAAUUUCUCAUGUUUGCAUUUACUGACUAAAUCACACAUCUUUCUUUCAGAAAUCGUUUCAGGGGCACAAACAGUUUAUCUUCUUUGGAGGUAUUUUCUUUUCCAACUCUUUGUAUUUCUUUCUUUUUCCUCUACCAGUUGGCUGAAGGUAAGCUGCUGCUUUAACCUUCACUGAUAACUGUUUUUUCCCCCACUUAGCUUCUUCUCCUCUUACCACUUUUACCUCCUUUCUUUCUGGGUGCACUUGUAUGUACUGAUUCCUUUCUUUGUCUGGGUGGCUGACUGGGUCCAUAAGGCAAACAGGAGGAAUUCAAGUUCAUGUGUUUGUUGUUAGUAAUGCUAUUCUGUUUUUCUAUCUAAUAGUUGGGGGAGUUUGCGUUAACGUUGCCAUAUUUUCCACUCCAGAUGUUUACAGGUUUUUUUUCUUGUUUUUUUUUUGUGAGCGAUUUGUUGAGGAUUUGAAGCUGAUUUAGUAUUGUGAUGUGGGUCGACUGUUUUCUUGCUUUGUUUUGUUUUUUCUAUGCAAGAGUGAUGGAUCCUUCCACUUGAUUGCAGGCAUGAGUAAUUGUAGGCUGGAUGUUACAGCUUUAGAAAUCAGUGGAUCAGAUUUUUUGCAGAGCUUAAAGGGACAGCUUACCCCACAGUGCCAAAUGUUUACCUUUGACCUGCACCAUAUAAUUAUAUAUAUCUUUUUCCUUUUUGAGGUUGUAUUUGUCAUAGAAGGAGCUUUUUCCCCCACCACCAAACUAUACCCACCAACGUGUCACUCUGCAGAAGAAGGUUUGUGGAUUUUGAGCAACCAGGUCAUGAUUUCCAUUGUGUUUAAGAGAGAGCAAACAUUUCAAGAGCCUUUCUUUUCUUUUUCCAAUACUUGGCAACUCAAACCUAGACUUUCUAUCUUUCCUAUCUUGACUUAAUUUCUAAAUCCCAGUCAUAAUGUUUAUCCAAACCCAGUUUAUACACGGCACAAACAAAACACAGCUGUGAAUGCUAUUUUUUUAAAGCAAUUAAAAAAAAUAUUGGCACGAGUCAUUAAGCGUGUCAGAGCAGAUUUAAUAUUAGUGCAAUCAACAGCACUGCUUGCACCUUCUGCACACACUUAUCCUGUAAAAUAAGCCUGAACAUAUCACCAGAACUUAAACUGGUCACUGUGAAAAAGCUUUUCAGACCUGCAGUCUGUGAAUGCACAAGCAGUCAUUUUCUUUUUCUUUCUUUCUUUUAGAACAAUUACAAUUUCAAUAAAACAAACAGAAAAUGGAAAACACAAAUAAAAAUGGUCUGUACAACACAAAGAGAAGGUGUUGGAGAGGUAGCAGGAAAGAAGCAGUGGCUUAUCCAGUGCUGCCCCCAGAUAAAUACUCUUUUAUAUCACCUACAUAAU